rnacentral:rRNA from 1 species
CCAGCAGCCGCGGUAAUUCCAGCUCCAAUAGCGUAUAUUAAAGUUGUUGCAGUUAAAAAGCUCGUAGUUGAAAUUGAGGAAUCUAGAUUGGAUGGUAUCUCNNACGAAUAANUUUCAUGNGUCCUAGUUCGUCUNGUACNUUGAAUGCGUGCUUUNGGUGUUAAGNANAACCGGCUAGUUUACUUUGAAAAAAUUAGAGUGCUUAAAGCAGGCUUUCGCUUGUAUAUUGUUGCNUGGAAUAAUGAAAUACGACUGUGGUAUUAUGUUGGUGGUCUUC